CAACAACAACUAUUUGUUGUUCAUCACACAAACAUAAUUAGUCUUUAGAUAAUUUAUGGUUCACACAUCUCAUAACAAAAACCUCUUUUCCCUUUCUCCAAAUGUCCAUUUAUUUGAUGUACCAUCACAGACUAUGUGGUUACAGCAAGCAAUUUAGGAGAGAAAACUUAUGUAUGAAUGUGUUAAAAGAAGCUGACAUGCCCAUAUAAAUUGGUAACCAUACAGGAUAACUCCAAUGGCCGAAAAUAAAGGCUGUGCCCAUAUUGGCUAUGGUUAUCAACCUUCAAAAAGAGAAAUAAGCUCAGACACUGUGCACGUCUGUAUGACAUCAGAGCACAGUGGGGGUAAUUGUAACAGAUAAUUUUUUUUCCGUGUUUUUCUUAGUUCUUUUCUUUUUAUACAUGUAAGCCUCAUAUAACCAAUGAUAAAGUAACAAGUUAUUUUGUGCCGGUGAUAAUGUUGUGAUACAAAACAAAAAAGAAGAGAUAUGCUCUUCUGUUGAUUAAUUUUGUUAUCAUCACCUUUUUGUUUCUAUAAGUGGAAGUGGUCAGACAUAUGACUAUCUCCAGCAUUUCAGUAUUAUUUAAAAAUGUGCAUUCUAAUUGUAUAUUAAAAAGUGUUAUAAAAGUCAAUAGGAAUAUCAAGUUUAUUUAAAUAUGUAUACAGCUAUGCCAGUAAUACCCAUCUGUACAUCAUUUCACCUGCACUUAGAAUUGAAGCAGGCAAGUGGAAAUCGCAUGAGCAGCAGAGGGGCCAUCAUACAUCAGCAUUGUUGUAAGCAGUGCUAUUUGCAAUGGAAUUAACAUGAAUUCAUGGGUCCAGAGGACAGCGUGGCCACAGCAGCUGCCAGAGGGUGUCCUCAUUCCACUGUGGGAUGACGCCACGGAGAUGGAGCCUUCGCCUCCUCUGCCUUCUCUUGUCCUACCGAUGGAGCAGGACCCACCCACACCACAGCAGUUGCCACCUUCUACAUCUGGUUCAUGGCAGCAGGAGGUGGCCGUGUACCCUUCUGGUCAUUUUCUGGGGGACGUUUCCACCAGAGCGCAGGUCAGAUGGUGGAGUACGGCCAGAAGCUUGAGGUCCCCUGCAGCUACAGCUUCCGGCCCAGCAAAGCACCCACACUCCUGCCUCCCUUCAAGGUUGCACUCCCUACAUGACAAUGGUCCACCACUUAGUCGGGGAGGAAUGUUCUGGUGUAACCACAAGUGACAGAACAAAGAUGAAGAAUGCAAGAGAAGAGAAGGUGGUGAAGCGACGUCAGCCAAUAGUCCACUUACCAGGACGUCACCACGAUAGAAGUGGCAUCUAGCUGAAGUGAAUAUAAGCACCACUCCUACCAGCCUUCACUGAACAUUAGUGGACAGUAUUCACAGAGUAUUAGCAUGGCCUAGCAGAGAGUGCUACAAUAGCAGUUAUUAGUGAUCCACAAACUGUGCGUCAAACUUGCAUGAAUGCUGAAUGUAGCAAAGGACUUGGAUUUAUGCUGCAUGUCACCCGUUUCUUGUAACACCAUCGUUAUUUCAGAGUGAAGUAUUGUCAAUCUGCUUUAUUGAAAUAAAACUACUAAUGUUA